UACGGAGGGUGCAAGCAUUAAUCGGAAUUAUUGGGCGUAAAGGGCGCGUAGGCGGAUUUGUAAGUCAGAUGUGAAAUUCCGAGGCUCAACUUCGGAGCUGCAUCUGAAACUACAAACCUGGAGGGAUGGCGGAGAAAAUGGAAUUCCACGUGUAGCGGUGAAAUGCGUAGAUAUGUGGAGGAACACCUGUGGCGAAAGCGGUUUUCUAGCUAUUUCCUGACGCUGAGGCGCGAGAGCAAGGGGAGCAAACAGG
rnacentral:rRNA from 2 species